GAUUACUCUCUCACUCCUUCACUACCAUUUCUAGUGUUUACAAUUCAACCUUUCGCACCAUCUACAAAUCCUUUCGGUUCUGUUUACUUCUGAUUGCUUUGCUCUUGAUGUGCUGCUUAAUUGCCUCACUGUACUAAGUUCCGAGUAUUUGGGUAUACAACAUGUGGUCUUUGGAGGUCGGUCAAUGGGUGAUUGGGAAGAGGGAAUGAAAAACCCUGAAGACGGAUACAAGUACUUUUAAGAUCUAAAGAUCGUUGGGCUUUCGUUUAUGGAAAAUUGGAGAGCGAGUCAGAAGUAAGAUCUGAUCAAAUUAUGACAGUGGACUUGUGAAUCCCACAAAGGAGGUAGCCACUACUGUCGCUGGUUGCAUAUCUGUGAUCACUAAUAUGAGCUUCAGCGGCCCUUCUAUUGGUGCCGGUUAGUUUUUCUCCUCCUGAUAUGUUGCAUGACUUGCCAUCAAAGUUAUGGAUAACGAUUGAAAUUCUGGUUGAUAAGACAUAGAACCUUCGCUCUCAGGUUAGUGAAUGCAAAUGGGAAUUUGUUUUUUUCCGCAUCUUGUCCUAUUUAUUUGCAAACGAGUUGAUUCAGCUGUAUUUGUGUCUAAAACGGGUCAAAUAAAACAAUGUAAGUAAAAUUGGGACGGCCCAAAUGGACUGAACUGAUAUGGAUAUGUAAACUCAUACUAAACUGGUUUCACCUUUAUCGACCACUUGAAAUGCAAAUGAUUGCUUAUUGGUUACAUGGUGGUCUAGACUUGAGAGUCGGUUUCAAAGAUUCUAAAGAGGUAUUGUUCCUUAUGAUCUUCACCUUAUGGACUUACCUCCUUUUAUACUUAUAUCUUGGAAAUAGACCGUAUAAUUAGAUGUAACAAAUUUCGAUCCAUUUAUAUUGGGUUGUUUUAUAUCUAGAUGGUUAAAAAAUAGGAAGCUAUAAAAUUUUAUCUCAAAUGAGUCAAAAUAAGAGCUUGAAGUUAGCCAAAGUGAAAUGGGCUUAUAUUUAAAUACAUGCGCUUAUUUGAGUUCAAUGAUUAGUAUUUAUUUAAAUAUUUUUGUAGGUGUUUUAUUUUAUAUACUUGUAACUGGGAUUUUGGUGAAUGCUAUGAAAGAUGCUACUAGACGACCUAGAUCGGGUCUCUUUUAGGGCAUGAUUUUGUUUAUUACUCGGUCGAUGCUUCUUGAGCGGUGUUAAUAUGUGGGUAGGGAUGAGCAUGGUACUCGUUCGGUACCAGUACUGAAAAACGGGAAAAGUGGGUACCGGUACCGAAUAUACCGGUACGGUACCGAAAAACGGAGAAAGUGGGUAGCUGUACGAGUACCGAAUAUACCCGGUACGGUUCGGUACCGGUUCGAAAUGCUCAUCCCUAUAUGUGGGUAUGUGCUUCUUUGGCUCAAUUGCUAAACAAUACAGACAUUCAUUUUCUCAUGUCCGGUAUUAGUAAACUCCGUUAAAUCUGUGUGUAUUUUUAAUCUUUUUGUUUGUUUGGUGUUCUUAAUUUGGUUUCAUUUGAAGGUAAGGUUAGGAAUGUUAAGAUGUAGAGUAAAUCUGUAGUAGUUUUUUGAAACUCAUUAAUCCAGCUCUUGCUUCUACUAAGUUUCUAUGGAUUUUCUUUCAAUGGUUUGGCUUGCUAUUCUGGUACGGUUGGUUGUGAAAAAAGUUUUAGUCCAGAACUGGCUUUAUAUUUUUCAAUAUUUUUUGUAUUGACCAGAGUUGACUUUUUAGGGUUUUGGCAAUGUGGGAUCUUGGCUAGCUAGGCUGAUUCAUGAAAGGGAUGGUAAGAUAGUUGCAGUGAGUGAUGUUAUGGGAGCUGUAAAGAACCCGAAUGGUAUUGAUAUACCUGCAUUGCUUGGGCAUAAAGAGAAAACUGGGAGCUUAAGUAGUUUUGAUGGU